AAAGUCGUAACAAGGUAUCCGUAGGUGAACCUGCGGAUGGAUCAUUACCAAUUUUAUAUACUAGUGUGUAUGCCGCUGUCAAAGGUGGUACUACACUACUACUAUUAUGUAAACGUUGAACUAGAUCAAUUGGUGUGGAUUGCUUGGGAAUGGACGAAGCGACAAGCCUCUUCCGGACAGGCAAACCCCACACUGAUAACCUUUUCAAUAUAAUUUACUAGUACAUACUACAAACAAACAAAAGCUAUAAUAGGACUUAUAAACAGGCUGAGUGGGUAAAAUCCUCGGCUUAACCAAUAUAACUAUUACAACUUUCAGCAAUGGAUCUCUAGGCUCUC
rnacentral:misc_RNA from 1 species